rnacentral:lncRNA from 10 species
ACAGAACGAAUUAAGGAAUGAACAAAUGUUGCUCUGGACAAAGCUGCAGCUUCCACGUCCUGCAUAACUGCACUCAGUACUGACCCUGAAGAUAGGAAAAGCAAUACAACUGGUGCGAGAAAUGUUAUGAGAAUGACUUGGAUGAGCUGAAAAAUGAAUGAUCUCCUUGAACAAGCUCCUUGGAAACCACAGGGUUGUCAUGGUA